CGCCUUCGCCGGAAGCUGCCUUGUAUCCGCGUCUCCGCAGGGAAAACUGCGGCUGGCGGUGCGGGAAGUGCUAUUAGUAGUUGUUUAUUUGUUUGUUUGCAGAAAUAAUUGCUUGGGUACGAAGGUCAAACGAGAAUGAAGCAAGUAUAUUAUCUAGUUUGUAUGUCUUUAAAUAGUUUCUCCUCCACACGUCUAAACAUACGCACCUGCUAGUAGGUGCGCAAAUGUUAAAACCUCUUUGGGAAAGCAAUGUGGCAAAAUCUAGUAAAAGUUUUCAAUUACUAAACCCCAGCACUCUGCUCCUACCUAUAUGUCUUGUAGAAACUUUGGUAAGUGAACAAGGAUGUACGUAACAGCGCUGUGGGUAGAAGCAAAAAAUUAGAAACGUCCAUCAAUAACAGAAUAAAUACCUUAUGGGAUGUUAGGAUGUAGUAUUAUACGCCAAUAAAAGAAGACUGAACUCAGAAAUGUGAUGAGGCAAAAAGAGAAAGAUGUAGAAAAAUAAAUAGUAUGACAAUUCAUAUACAUUCAACUCUAAAACUUGUAAAACAAUGCUAUAUAUUGCUUAGUUAUGCAUACAUAUGUAGUUAAAGAAGUCAAGAAAUACAAGAGAAUGAAAAUCAAGUUGAGAAAAGCAGUCAUAUCUGAGGCUUCCUAAGAGAAGUGAUGCCCAAGACAUUAAAACAUGAAUGGGCGUUAGAUGAAGACAAAAGAGCAUUCCAUCGUAGAAGACAAUGUAGCAUGUGACGGUAAAGAUUUCCCAAGACCAAAAAGCUUAGGAGCACUGCCCCAUUCCACUGUUCUGCUGCUGGUUUUGCUUUGACUCUCCCAGAGGAAAACCGGGGUUGUCACUGGAAGUUCCUGAAGUAAUCUCCUUUUUUAGCAAACUUUUCAUUAUUACACUAUUUGGGUCAUGGUACAACUUUGCUGAAUUGCCUUGAACUGAAGUAUUGGAUUUUUACUUUAAUUUAUCCUGUGAUUAUGCUGAUUUUGCUUCACUGAUAUUCUGUCAUGUCCUUAGAUUUCUAAUGAAACUGCUCAGAAAUCAACCAGGUAAAAUUUUAUGGGAAAGUUAGGUGGGGAACUAGCACUUGGUUAUGUUUGUAUAAAAAGAAACCCACAAAAUUUUUUCUCAAAACAGUGUUUCUGGUUGUCAAAUGAAAUAGGGGAGCAAUUAGACUUCUGUCUGGUGAGUAGAUUAAAAUAUUUCUGCUGACUGCUAUUGUGUCCUUUCUGUACCUCUGAGGUAUCAUUCAGAUACUUGGCUGUCCUCUGAUGGAAUAAGAAGAAUCUGUGGUUGAAAUAUUUUGACUAUAGUACUUGCUGACAAAAGGCAAAAACCCUUUUAACAAUUAGAAAAAUUACUCUGGCUAAAGUUUCAUAUAUGCCAGGAAUAUUUGAAAUAGACCUUAUUUUUUUGAAAACUGACAAUAUAACCACUAUAAUGAACCACAAUGCCAUAAAAAUAUUUCUGCAUAAUAGUUAAUAUGAAAUGCCUUUAAAAGUUUUAGUACUGGGAUUUGUAGCGGAAGCAUAAAAUGCAAUGUGAAGAACAUUUCUCAGACAUUAGUUUAAUGCUAUUAAUUUGUACUUAGAUUUCAAAAUCUAUAGAUGCAAUUUUACUACCAAUUAUUUUCUUCAAACUAUUUUUAAAAUACCUAUGAUGCUUAAAUUUUCACUUCUGUAGUACAGUCCUCUCUCUAUAUCUGGGGGAAUUGCUUCCAGAACUACUCAGAUACCAAAAUUCAUGAAUGCUCAAGUCCCUGAUACAAAAUGGCAUAGUAUUUGCAUAUAACCUACACACAUCCUCCUAACAGUUUAAAUAAUCUCUACAUUAUUUAUUAAUAUGAUACCUAAUACAAUGUAAUGUUAUAUAAAUAAUUGUACCAU
rnacentral:lncRNA from 1 species